GUGAGAACUUGUUCCGAGGAAAUUGAGAUUACACUGUUCAAAGAAUACAUGAUUGGUUACGUUACAUUCAUAGUGUGUGUAGAUGAUACAUCAAAGUAAAACAGACAUGCAUUGGGCAUUUCUUGAAGAAUUUCACUUGCUAGUGUCCUAAUAAUGCCCAAACUACUAUCUAUGUUCAAGGGUGUGCACAUCCAAGUUUCAUCUAGCUUCUUUGUCUCAGAAUCUAAUAUCAAAAAUAAAGAACCUACACUCAGAUGAGGGAGGCACAAACGACGUAUUAAAGAUCAUGGUUUCCAAGGAGCUGGCGGAGGUGGUGGAGUGGGAAACAUCGGUGGUACUGCAGAGAAUAAAGUGUUCUUAUCAAUUCCGACAUCUCUAUCUCCAGAUAGAGCCACGAGAGCUGCAACUAAACCAGCAUUUCCAGCAAGAGUAGGCUCCGUAUAAUUGUAAUUAGAACGGACAUCACGGAAACCAUCAUGCUUGUCUGGUCCAGCAACCAUGGCUCCAACAAUAGUAU
rnacentral:misc_RNA from 1 species